UCGCGGAACAACGGCAGACACGCGUUCCACGUGUGUGUACACACGCGCGCGCAGCGAUGGAUCGGUGUGCAUCCGUUAACGCACGCCCGCUCGAUUGUGGUUGACCGUGGUUGAACUCUCGUCGCCGACUCUCCCCUUCCUUCUCCUCCUCCUCCUACUCCUGCUCCUUUCCCCCUCCCCUUCUUCCUGCUCCUCGCAGCGCCGUCUCCUCGAUUCUACUUGCUUAGAGAUAUUGUCUGCGCGACGCGUGUCAGCGUGUAGUUGCCACCCACGCCGUGUGCCCCGAUAAAAUUAUUCUGUUGACGAGUUACCUUAACGAGCAAGACGUGGAUCACGGUAAUUCGUCGCUGAGAUGUUGGGGCUGUUUCAGAGCCAGCCUCUCGCGUUUAAAGCGAGACACGACUAGCUGCGGGCUGGUUUUUGACGCGGCUCGGAGGAUAACUCGUCGCUUGGAUCGAGUUAUAGGUUAUGAGUAAAACGGUGCGUGGAUGAUGGGAUUGAUUGGAGUUGGAAUUAGAAUUAAAAUUCAAAGAGGACAAAUCGCCCCGUUUAUCAAUCCUUGGGAUCGCGGUGGGCGGGUGACAAAUGGCGACGCGGAAGGGUUGUUUUUCAAAAAAAAAAAAAGAAAAAAAAAGAAAAAUUCGGUUAUUCAUCGGUCCAUAUAGAAAAUUGAAUGGAAUCAAGCGCUCUGUCCGGAUAGUUUGUAACCGAUCUAGCGAAACGGGCGACCGCAAUUUUGCGAACGGCCAACAAUUCAAUUAAAUUCGCGCCAACACCGCCGCGCCGCCACCACUUCCGCCGCGGAAACGCGCCCGGAAAAUUUGGCCGGCGCAAAAUUUGUCGAGUCGCGCCCGAAAUAAAUUUCGUGCCUCGAA